rnacentral:rRNA from 1 species
UACGUAGGGUGCGAGCGUUGUCCGGAAUUAUUGGGCGUAAAGGGCUCGUAGGUGGUUUGUCGCGUUGUUCGUGAAAACUCACAGCUUAACUGUGGGCGUGCGGGCGAUACGGGCAGACUGGAGUACUGCAGGGGAGACUGGAAUUCCUGGUGUAGCGGUGGAAUGCGCAGAUAUCAGGAGGAACACCGGUGGCGAAGGCGGGUCUCUGGGCAGUAACUGACGCUGAGGAGCGAAAGCGUGGGGAGCGAACAGGA